CUCACCCUCAAUCCAGUUCACCCUUUCACCCUCGUCAAGCCUCUAUCUCACUCACUCUCGCUCUCACUCACACUCGAUACACUCUCAGUGGGCUGUCUCCGUCGACCGAGACUCACCCUCGUUCUUCUUGGUUUAAAUCUUCUGGGUUUCAUAACUCAAUUUGUUCUUAAAGACCUUUCUAUUUCUCUCCGUUCCAAUUCAAGACCCUUUUGAUUCUUCCUCACCUUUUGUCGCCACUGUUGCUCUAAAACUUUGAUGGGUUCUCUCUAAUUCCAACUCUUCUGCAUGGGGUCUUUCUGGAGCUGCUGAGCUUUUUGACUUGAGGGGGCUCAAAGGGAAGGUUGGUUGGUAUCUAAAGAUCUGAGGGUUGAAGAAGGUUAGCUGGUAUCGCUGGGCUGAGUUAAGCUUGCUAUCCUUAAGAUAAUGGCACCUUCUACGCGAAGACCUUCAUCUCAAGCAGUAGCAAUGGCCAAAAGAAUGAGGGAAAUUCAGCUGAGAGGGACAAGGUCUAGCAAUACCAAGCGAUCCAAUGGAGCAACAUCAAGGGGA